AACGAACGCUGGCGGCAGGCCUAACACAUGCAAGUCGAACGCUCGUAGCAAUACGGGAGUGGCAGACGGGUGAGUAACACGUGGGAACCUUCCCUAUGGUUCGGAAUAGCUCAGGGAAACUUGGGGUAAUACCGGAUAAGCCCUUCGGGGAAGGAUUAUCGCCAAAGAAUGAGUCCGCGUCCGAUUAGUCUAGUUGGUGAGGUAAUAGCUCACCAAGGCGACGAUCGGUAGCUGGUCUGAGAGGACGAUCAGCCACACUGGGACUGAGACACGGCCCAGACUCCUACGGGAGGCAGCAGUGGGGAAUAUUGGACAAUGGGGGCGAACCCUGAUCCAGCCAUGCCGCGUGAGUGAUGAAGGCC
rnacentral:rRNA from 1 species